GAUGAACGCUGGCGGCGUGCCUAAUACAUGCAAGUCGAGCGAAGCGGGGACGGGUGAGUAACACGUGGAUAACCUCCUAUAAGACUGGGAUAACUUUGGGAAAACGGAGCUAACCAGGAUACUUAUAGAUUGAUCCGCGCCGCAUUAGCUAGUUGGUAAGGUAACGGCUUACCAAGGCAACGAUGCGUAGCCGACCUGAGAGGGUGAUCGGCCACACGGGAACGGAGACACGGUCCAGACUCCUACGGGAGGCAUCAGUAGGGAAUCUUCCGCAAUGGGCGAAAGCUUGACCGAGCAACGCCGCGUGAGUGAUGAAGGUCUUCGGAUCGUAAAACUCUGUUAUUAGGGAAGCGGUACCUAAUCAGAAAGCCACGGCUAACUACGUGCCAGCAGCCGCGGUAAUUC
rnacentral:rRNA from 1 species